UGGGGAAUAUUGGACAAUGGGGGCAACCCUGAUCCAGCCAUGCCGCGUGAGUGAUGAAGGCCUUCGGGUUGUAAAGCUCUUUUGGUGGGGACGAUGAUGACGGUACCCACAGAAUAAGCUCCGGCUAACUUCGUGCCAGCAGCCGCGGUAAUACGAAGGGAGCUAGCGUUGUUCGGAGUUACUGGGCGUAAAGGGCGCGUAGGUGGUUUGGCAAGUUAGGUGUGAAAGCCCAGGGCUCAACCCUGGAAUAGCACUUAAGACUGCCUUACUUGAAUUCGGUAGAGGUGAGUGGAAUUCCCAGUGUAGAGGUGAAAUUCGUAGAGAUUGGGAAGAACACCCGUGGCGAAGGCGGCUCACUGGACCGACAUUGACACUGAGGCGCGAAAGCGUGGGGAUCAAACAGG
rnacentral:rRNA from 1 species